UUGGGUCCUCCAGAGUAUUUCUGGAAGGGCUGACUAAGGUGGAAGACCCUUAGGCAUCUCUGGCAGCAACUGCUAGCUUCAGUCCCUCCUGGUGAGUGCAUCCCCUCUGCAGGUCCUUGAAUCAUAAGCUGACUACUUAUAUAAAAAGGGGAGUCAUCACUGUUAGAUACCUCACAUGAGUAUGAAUCAAUGAUUUGAUUCAUAUGGGCCAGAGCCAGUAGGGUAUGUAGCAGCUGAGGACUCCAUCUUCCGAAGUUUGAAGCAGUUAAGAUAAUGCCAGGAAGUCCAGGAAUGCAAAAGAGCCGGCAUGCUCUCACACAUGUAAGUUAGAGUAAGUUAUGGCCUUUGGUUUUUAUAGUGGUCCUCCCCUUUUAGCUGGGCCUCAAUUCCAAAUCUGACACAGAACUGAGGAAAGCUGCAUCUUAAAACUUGGCUAAUUAUAGGAUGAUAGAGUUCGGGUGGUCUCUGGAUGUUUUUCCAAUUCCUAAUUGCCUCCACCUCCCUAGCUCAGGGAUUCCAGGCUUUUACCAGCAUGGUUGGUUUAAUCAGUAUUGGGAUUGAAACCUAAGGUUUUGUCCGUGGUAGCUGAGCACUCUGCCUGAUGAGGUACACUCCAGCUAACACUUUGAGCUGUAUGCACUUCUUGGCUUGGAGAGGAGCUUUCCUUGAGUAAGUUGUGAAACAAGCCCUUUUAAAUGUGUGUUCAAAUGAUUGAAGGAUCUUGGUGUGUUGCCCAAUCUGGCGUUUUACUCAAGUGAUCCUUCAGCUGGAGCCUUCCAAGUAGCUGGGACUAUAGGCAUGUGCUUCUGGCCGUGUCUGGUUUAACUGUAGCUUUGGCAUUCCUGUAAGACCAUCUCUUCCCUGAUGACCUUCUGUGCUAUUACCCCCUAGCCCAAAAAGAAGAAAUUCAAAAACCACUAUGAGUUCCCAGUAUCUGCAUACCUUUUAGCUGGGUGUAGUUGUUUUUAAAUUUUAACAUGAAUAUAGGAGGAAAAUUAUUUUUCCUUUAAAAAGUUAGGGCUUUUGUCUUACGUUUCUUGUGAUAAAAUACCCUGAUAAGAGCAACCCUCGUAGGGUUUAUUUUGGCUCUGAGGUCAAAGGUACUUUCACAGUGGGGAAGUCAAGUGUUAGGAGCUUGAAGCAGCUGCUCCCAUCUCAUUCCCAGGCAGGAGAUAGAAAUGGGUCCAUGCUGGUGCUCAGCUGCCUUUCUGCCUUUUAUACAGUCUAAUAUCAGAGCCCACUGAGUGGAACCAUCCAAAAUGGGUGGGGCUUCCCACCUGUCCCAGUCAAGAUAACCCCUACAAGCCCUGCUCAGAGGCCAGUCUUACAGGAGAUUUGAGAUUUUGCUGAAUUGAUUAAUAGCACACCUGGCAAACUUGAAGACUCAUUCUCAACAAAUUGAAAAAAUUGGGACUUAGUAAUGUGUACUUACAAUACCAGUGCCAAGGAGGCGGGGAUUGGUUCCCCAGGGCUCACCUGGUAGCCUGUCUAGGCUACCUAAUGAAUUACAGGUUUGUCUUUGCCUCAAAAAUAAAGGAGAUGGUGCCUAAGAACAUCUGACUUUUACACAUAUAAAUGUACUUGUGUACAUCUGAACCUCAACCCCACAAAGAUGGUAGGGGCGCUGAAACAAUAUGUAAACAGGUAAGAGAUUCAACCAUCAACUAAAACAAUGAAUGAGUGCUAUUGGUAAUUUUAUGUCAGCUUGACACAAGCUGAAGUCAUCUGAGAGGAAAGAACUUCGGUUGAGAAAAUGCCUCCAUAAGAUUGACUUGUAGGAAUUAGUGAUUGAUGUGGGAGGGUCCAGCCCACUGUGGUGGGGGCAUCCCUGGGCUGGUGGUCUGUAAGAAAGCUGGCUGAUAAAACCAUAACAAUCAAGCCAGUAAGCAGCACCUCUCCAUGGCCUCUGCGUCAGCUCCUGCCUCCAGGUUCUUGCACUAAUUGAGUUCCAGCCUGAAUUCCUUCAGUGGUGGACUAUGAUGUGAAAGUGUAAGCCGAAGAAACCCUUUUCUUCCCAGAUUGCUUUGGUCAUGGAAUUUAAUCAUAUCAUAGCAAUUGUAAUACAAACGUAAAACAGUGCCCAACUUUAUUCAUUUAUUUAUUAAUGUGGAUUCAAACUCUGGUCCUGUUUGUGCCUCAAGCACUUUACCGCCUGAGCCAUUCCCAGCUCCUGUCUGAUAGUCCUGUAGUUUUUGCUUCUAUCAGAAGAGGCUGAGGACGUUCUCUUGUUCACACAGUAGCUGUUAAACAUUUGCCCACUGAAUGAAUAAAUGUCUCACAGGUAUGGAGUACCACACCACACAGAACAGUGGAAGGCUUAUUCCCACACAAUGGAAGAAGAGAAAAGGACUUUUGUUUUGGAUUAGUGAGCUUUUCCUGUGCCCAGCAGCAGCUGCUCUCUUUCUGUUAAACAAAGGAAGCUAGUUCAUAGAAACACGUCUGCAGCUACCAUCUGAGCAGUGCUUUUGCCAUUUCCUGGUCUUCUAAACACAGUCUGGAGCACCAGUGUCAGUAGACCUGCCAGCUCCAGUUGCUUGGAUCGCUGCCUAAACAACGUUUGCUGAGUGGGAUUUCAGUCCUUGGUGUGGCGGUCUCCCAUUUGGAUAAUUCUGAGUUCUUGUUGACUGUGGCUGCAUUACCACUCACUGCUCUGUGAGAACACUGUGUUCUGUGUGUGUGUGUGUUGGUUUCUUUUCUGUUGCUAUGAUAAAAUACCCGGAAAGGAGCAACUUAAGGGUGAAAGGGCUGGUUUUUUUUGUUUGUUUGUUUGUUUUUUGUUAUUUUAAAUAAAAAAUUUUAAUAU
rnacentral:lncRNA from 1 species